UGAUUACCCUGUAUCUCCCCCAGCGCUUAGAACGGCGCUCUGCACAUAGUAAGCUUAACAAAUACCGACAUUUUUGUGUGGAGAGGUAGGGAUGGGUGUGAGUGUUUGUGGGUAGGGGUGUAGGGGUGUGUGGGUGAGAUUUUGUGUGUAGGGGUAGGCGUGUGUGUGUGUGUGUGUAUAUAGGAGCGGGUGUGAGUGUGUAGGGGUAGGUGUGCGUAUGUAUAGGGGUAGGUGUGUGUGUUUGUAUGGGGGUGAGUAGGCAUUUGUGUCAGGGGGUGAGUGUAGCUAUAUGAGUGGAUUUUUGUGAGGGUGAGUGGGUGUGAAUAGGGGUUUUUGUGUGUAGAGGUGAGUUUUUUGAGUUUGCGUGUAGGGGUAUGUGUAUGAGUGGGUUUGCGUGUGGAGGGGUGUUAUACGUGUGAGUCUGGAGUUUUGUGUGGGCGUGUGUGUGAAUGUGAGUCUGUGUAGGGGUGAGUGUGUGUGAGUGUGGGUUUUUGUGUAUGUGGAUAAAUGGGUCCGUGUGUGUAUGUGCAUGUCUAGUAUGUGGUUUUGUGUGUCUGCGUUUGUUUUUGUAGAGGUGUGGUUUUGUGUAUCUGGGCGUGUUUUUGUAUGUCUGUGGGCGAGUGUGUGUCUUGUGUGCUUUUGGGUGAAUCCGCAUGUGAGGGUGUGUUUAGUUUGAGGCCGCCGACAGAGGGGUGCUUGUUUUUGAUGUCCACCGGAAUGGGACGCCACCGCUACCGCUGUCUCCUUCCCCAGACAAAAAGACUGACUCUCCCCACACAUAAUAUCCUUCUGUAUUGUCCCCGGGAAGGGGCCGAGGCCACAGCCUCCUCAGCCUCCCCUGCCUCCUCAGCCUUCCCAUUUCUUCAGCCUCCCCUGCCUCCUCAACCUUUCCAUUUCUUCAGCCUCCCCAUUUCUUCAGCCUCCGCCGCUUCCUCAGCCUCCCCCGCCUCCUCAGCGUCCCCGUCUCCUCAGCGUCCCCUGUCUCCUCAGCCUCCCCCGCUUCCUCAGCCUCCCCCGCUUCCUCAGCCUCCCCAUUUCUUCAGCCUCCCCAUGUCUUCAGCCUCCUCUGCCUCCUCAGCCUUCCCAUUUCUUCAGCCUUCCCAUUUCUUCAGCCUCCCCCGCCUCCUCAGCCUCCCCUGCCUCUGCUGCCACAGUUAGAUUCAUUUUAAACUUCGGAGCUCCUCGUGCGGCUGGCAGGAGCGGUGGCGGAGGUCUGAGGAAUUCUAAUUUAGGAAGGAUCGGUCCUGUCCAAAGGAAGGCCCUUCUCUCGCCCGACACGCCCUGUGCCCGUGGGGCCGUGAGGAAAUCAAGUCCAGGAGCGCGAGACCGCCCCAAAAACAUUUUUUUAAGAACCGUAGGCCGGGUCGACGGAACUCUCCAAAGGUCAUCCCGUCCAGCCCCCUGCCUCCAGGUGAGGGAACUGAGGCACAGAGGAGCGAAAUGACUUGCCCAAGAGCGCACAAGAGGCAAGCGGCGGAGCCAGGAUGAGAACCGUCGCCCUUCCGACCCCCAGACGUUCCGGAAGCGGCUCGGCGUAGCGGAAGGCGACCGGGAAUCGGAAGACCUGGAUUCUAAUCCCCAGCUCCGCUCCUCGCUGGGUGACCCCGGAUGAGGAAAAUGAAACACGGAGCAGGUCACACAGCAGGCGGCUGGAAGGGUCGGGAUUGGAACCCGGGUCUCCCGACUCCCAGGCCUCAUCUCCCUCCACUAAGCCACACCGCUUCUCCAGGGUAGACGCCGUACGCGCUUAAAUGCCUUCACUUUAUAAAAAGAACUUUAAAAAGAA